rnacentral:tRNA from 1 species
GCCUGGGUGGCUCAGUCGGUUGAGCGUCCGACUUCGGCUCAGGUCACGAUCUCACGGUUCGUGGGUUCGAGCCCCGCGUCGGGCU